rnacentral:rRNA from 1 species
GUAGCUUGCUACUUUGCCGGCGAGCGGCGGACGGGUGAGUAAUGUCUGGGAAACUGCCUGAUGGAGGGGGAUAACUACUGGAAACGGUAGCUAAUACCGCAUGACCUCGCAAGAGCAAAGUGGGGGACCUUCGGGCCUCACGCCAUCGGAUGUGCCCAGAUGGGAUUAGCUAGUAGGUGAGGUAAUGGCUCACCUAGGCGACGAUCCCUAGCUGGUCUGAGAGGAUGACCAGCCACACUGGAACUGAGACACGGUCCAGACUCCUACGGGAGGCAGCAGUGGGGAAUAUUGCACAAUGGGCGCAAGCCUGAUGCAGCCAUGCCGCGUGUGUGAAGAAGGCCUUAGGGUUGUAAAGCACUUUCAGCGAGGAGGAAGGGUUCAGUGUUAAUAGCACUGUGCAUUGACGUUACUCGCAGAAGAAGCACCGGCUAACUCCGUGCCAGCAGCCGCGGUAAUACGGAGGGUGCAAGCGUUAAUCGGAAUUACUGGGCGUAAAGCGCACGCAGGCGGUUUGUUAAGUCAGAUGUGAAAUCCCCGAGCUUAACUUGGGAACUGCAUUUG